AUAGCAUAGAAUAAAACUAAUGGAAAUUUUCAGAUAAUUGUAGCUUUUCUGUCAUUGUAACUGAAGCCCCAAAAGGAGAAACUUACCUUAAAAAAAGAAGCAACCAACAAUCAUAAAAGCAGAGAGAGCUUAAAAGCCUUUAUCAGUAGCAAUGCUUGUCGCAACAAGCAGGUGGAUUCAUUAACAGUAGCAAGUCGCAACAAGCAGACUUGACCAACUACCAGAAUGCUUCAAAACUUUGCGCUUAGAGUUAAAUGUUGGAAGAUACUCCACCAAGUUUUGUGCAACUUCAUUGCUCAAACAGUACACACCUUCCUUGGCUACCUCAAAAAUAUGAAAGUUCAUUUAUGACUCUGAUAAAGCAAUUACUAGUCAAAUAGUUCAGAUAAAUAUGCAGAGCACGUAAAAGUUCAUUAUCAAGAGGUAAAAGUUCAGUCCCCUUAGAAUUACAAUUUUAAACAGAGUGAGAUGACUUUAGCAAUAAUAACUUGAAAUCCACAGAAGCAGAGCACGUAAAAUAAACAAAAAUAGACUAUUUGUAGGCUAUGCAGGCCAAAAGUUGAUAGCCUAUGCUAGUUGUUCUAAACGUUGAUAGGCUAUUGCGGUCUAGCCAUAUAGACGGUGCUGAAGAAGCUUCAAAAUUCUAACCAGUUCGUGAAGCUAUUCUUCUAUCAAUCCUACAAAAACAAAGCAUAGAACAGAAUAUGAACAAAGAUACAGUAAAACAUCAAAGCACGAAACAGAACAGAGUAUUACUAUUAUGUUGUAAGGAGUAAAUGAAGAGCACCAAUAUUUUGGACCUAAUAAGAAAUGCUAAUGCCGCAGCUUUGAAAGAUAAUAAAUAGGACGAUAAAAAGGGAGAAGAGAAAACUGUACAAAUAACCACGGAGACUUUUUAGGUUUUCUCACGAGAAGGUUAAUCAGAGAGGGAGGUGAAGAGAAGGGGAGAUUGAUUGUAAAGCAAAUUAAGAAAGUUGGACAUAAUCGAGAACUUGAUUAGCGGUUAUGUAUAGGUCUUGAAUGUGAGAAACUUUGGACCACUGGGAGUCGGGGCCGCUGCUCUCAGGAGUGCAUCUUUCUUUUAACAGAGGAGAACCAUAAACCUCCAGACGUUUUAGUUUGGUGAGACUUCUCAUGGCAUCCUCAGAGGGUAGAUGUCCAAGCUCCGUGAAAUGCCGUAAAUGCAGGAAUUCAAGAGCAGCGAAGUUUCCGAACCAAUCUGGCAGAGCUUUUAUACCUCCAAAGUCGCGUAGCCAUAGUGACGUCAGAGUGGUCAAGUAUUGGAUCCGAUGUGGCAGGGACUCCAUGUGUGGCAACCCAAUUAAUGCUAAUUCAUGGAGUGCAGAUUACGAAGAGGAUAUCAAUCCAGACCAAUCAAACUCAUUGUAAAUUGAAGAAUUUUCAUGAUCAUCACCAUCAUCUGAGAAGGGACCAAUUACAAGCUUCCUUAAGCUGGUUAGGAAACCAAAUCCUUUGGGUGUCAUGCUUGUUUUCAGUUUGGGACAGCAGUAUAAUCCCAGCUCCAAGAGAGAAGGCGUUUGUUGCAAAUCAAGCGGAAAGGAGACAAGAUUGUCGCACCAACUCACCUGAAGCUUCUGGAGAGAGGCACAAGAGUGCAGCAAGUCACCGGGCAGAUUCGUCAACCCAUCGCACUCAUCAAUCACCAGCUCUUUAAGAGACGUAAAGUUUUGCAGGGGAAGGAGUUCUCUGCAUCUGUUGCAGAAAUUAAAUGCCAAACGCGCUAACUUGGGUGGUGGUGUUGUUGUUGACUCGGGGAGUGUUGUUGUUGUUGGCAAAUUCAUUAACCAUCGAGGAAAUUGAUUGCCCAUAAAAUUCCAAAUUAUCAACUCCUCCAAAUUUGGGUGGGGUAGAAGGCCAUCUAACACAUCUUCAUCGUUGUAGUUGUCACCUUCUCGAUCAGGGGCCCACUUAAGUUCCAGCCUAAAUAGAUUUGCCUUUUCAGAUAGUUUUGCUUCCUUAGCUCCUUCCUUAUCCUUUACUAGUUCCAGAUUGCGUAUCUCCAAUUUGCCUUUGAGGUUCUUCAAGCAUCCAAGCUCUCCAAUUUGUCGACCCUUCUCUCGACCCACGCUAAAGAACUCUAGAGUUUGAAGGCAAGUCAGCCUUCCCAUCUCUCGCAGCAUUUGAAAUUCUUCAUCAUAAUCUAUGUAAUAGUGGAGAUGUCUCAAGCUAAUCAAAUUGCACAUUCCCUUCGGAAGAUCUUUAACAUUUGAGCCACUUAGCGUCAAUGUCUGCAGAUUAUAAAGCUUGCAAAGGGAGUCUGGCAAAAUACUGAUUGAAGACCAUGAAAGGUUAACAUACCGCAAAUGUAUCAGUUUGCCAAUUGAGACUGGUAGCUCUUGAGUUCUUCUUGCACGAGACAAAUUCAAAACAUACAAGUUCUUCAACUUCAUUAACAUAUCACCAGAUAAGUCACCAUUUACGAUGAAUAAUGUAUGAAACGAAGUUGAUAGACUCUCCAAAAGUUUUUCUCUGUCUUCUCUGGCACCAGAUGAGUCUAUUGCAAGGUAACGAAUCUGAUCACCAUUGUCUACUAUAUGCGUAUUCCAAUCAUUAAUGACUUUGGUAGACUUUGACAUUGACUCUGCAAGGUCGUGCACCAGAUCAUGCAUCUUAUAAUAUGUUAUCCCAUAGCUUCCUGUUUCUUCAAACAAUGAACUCUGCAAUAAAAUUCUCAGAUAAUUAAUUCCAAUUUCCUCCAUCAUCGUUUGGCUGUUGACGUCUGCUUGGAGGAAGCCUUCAGCCAUCCAAAGUUCGAUCAGCAUAUUUCUUUCCAUCUGAGUAUCCUUAGGAAAUAUAGAACAAUAUGCAAAACAUUUCUUAAUGUAUGGAGAUGGCAAAUUAUCAAAACUCAACUUAAGUAUUUGCAUCACACGAUCUCCACCUACACUCAACCUCAGAAGCCUAUUGUCCAAAAUUGAUUACCACUCCUCUUUUCUCUUUAAACGUAACAGACCUCCCAUUACACUUGCAGCCAAUGGUAGACCGUCACAUCUUUUGAUUACUCUCUUUUUAAUUGCUUUUAGUUCAUCAGGUUCUCCUUCCCCUCCAACUACUUUUUCUUUUACGAUAGACCAACAAUGAUCAUCAGGUAGUUUUCUUAAUGGAUAGGCUUCAUUUUCCAUCAUCAAAACUCUAGACACACACUGCGCCACUGGACCUGGACGAGUAGUGACCAGACACCAGCUUCCAUUAGUUGGAUUGAGCCCCUUCAAGGUGUUGAAAAAGUCCUCCCACAAUGCUUGAUCAUCAUCCCACACAUCAUCAAGGACUAGGAAAUAUCUUUUUCCCCUAGGUUGCUCCCAAUUUUUCCAACGAUGACAUUCCUAUCAUCCACUUCAACCUUUUCUCCCGUCAAUUGCAAUAAAAUGAGUUUGAAAAGCUCCACUAUUGGAACUUUUCUCGAUACACAAACCCAAAUUUUUUUGUUAAAGUGUUCAUCAAUUUUCUUGUUGUUGUAUAUGGAUUUAGCCAAAGCUGUUUUGCCUAAACCUCCCAUACCAACUAUGGGAAGAACAGAAACAACCUUCUCGGACGGGCUCAACAACAUCUCUAGUAUAUUUAAUUCAUCAUCGGCUCUUCCAGUCAUUGGAACAAGAACAGAGUCGGUCUGCCGAUUUCUUGUGUCUCCAACAGCAGGAGCAGCAGGGAGGGCAGCAGGCACGACUGCCCUACUGACCAGUAGCAAUCCGUUGGCUUCUUGAUAGAUGCCAUUCAACUUACGUUUGAUGUCCCUGACCUUAGAGGCCAUUCUCCAACGAAAAGCAAGAUUAAUGUUAGAGCAGGAGAAGAAGCAGCAUACCUUGAGCUUGUGUCGGUUUCGGGACUCCACCUGGUGACGAAGAGAUUCAUAGUGGAGCUCAUCCAACACAUUCUGAGCAUCAUAAGCCACCUCAUCGAGACACUUCAACCAUCGUUGCACUCCUCUGCUUUGGUUUUGCCUUUCCUCAGCAUCAGCCAGGACAUCUUUGAUAAGGCCAAGAGAUUGUGCCAUGCUGGCCACGUCCUUCUUGAGCCCAACUAACAUACCAAUCCUAUCAGAGGCAAGAGACAGUGCCCUUUCCAAGGUGACCUGAAUUGUGGCACCGAUAACAGGGUCGGCCAUUUUUUUUUCUUUUGAAUAUACAACUUGGAUUCAGUCUUGCGAUCAAGAUGGUUUUUUAAAAUGGGAGGUUUUAGCAGCCAGAAAUUGGUAAUGUUACAAGUGGUUAAAAGGAGAAGAGCAUUGAUAUUUGGUCAGCUAAAAAAUGCAGAGUUAUUCUUAACUUUGAUGCCUUCCUUUGCAAUGGAAAUAUAUAUUCCUUGCUUGGCAUCUUCACUUUAAAUUUCUUGGAUGCUUUGAAAUGCAGCGUCAUUCUUAACUUUGAUGCCUUCCUUCGCAAUGGAAAUAUAUAUUCCUUGCUCGGCAUCUUCACUUUAAAUUUCUUGGAUGCUUUGAAAUGGAAAUUCCUGGCAUGGGAUUUUCACUUUAACUUUCUUGCUGGGGCCUUCAUCUUUAUUCCAAUUUCCAUUGAGGGCUGACAAUUACAUUUGCUGUUUACUUAACCUAUAUUGCAUUCAUUCGUUAAUCCUGGAAAGAUGAACUAAUUAGAACAUGAUUUGGUCUUAACGCACACCUUAUUCUGUUGGAUUUUUCUUCCUUGCUAGAGACAUAAGUUGUGUCUCAAUACAAAAAUCAAUUAGGCUUCUAAUUAUUUUGUUAUUCAGAAUCUGAUAUCGUUGAGCAUUGAGCCUUUUCAACUUUGCAUAAUCAAGAUGCUGAGUCUAAUUUGGUGGUGUUGCCAUCACAUUAUAUUCCUUGCUUGUGUUAAUACCUUGAAAUGUGGAUGAAGUUUGGCAAAGAAUAACUUGAAAUGUGGAUUUGCUUCAAACUUUAUAUUCUGAAAUGAAGUUUGGCACUAGACGCCUAAACAAUUAUUCAGCCUAACUGCUUUAGAAAAUUUAUCACAGUGCGAUGGUGAUUUAUAGAUUGAUUAUCACAUAAACAAACUAACUCAUUAGCUUGUAAUGCAUAUAAAUGAUAUUUAACCAAAACAUUUGAAUUCAGAACUUAUUUUUUCUCUCUAUCCCUACCAAACCUAAGAAAAAAAAAAGCCACUGAUUUGCAUCUUUAUUUACAAAGUUAAUUUAAUGUACACAUGACUGAGCGUUAUUACAUUCCCUUAGUAAUUAAAAAAAUUUAGUCAAUUGUCCUAAAUUUUCUUAAAAUUGGAAACAUUUUGGGACAAAAAUUAUUAUUGAUCAAAAUUUUAGAACUAAAAUAGUUCAAGUGCCAAAAAUUGAGGACCAUACUUGUUUUUGCUAAAACUUUAGAACUAAAACUGUGCAAGUGCAAAACACUAAGGACAAAAACAUUUUUUCCAAAAGUUAAAAGAAACUUCAAAAAACUGGAAAAAAAUAUUUGCAAUCGGGGAGAUGUGAAAUUUAAGAAACCAGAGUUUUGAGGUUCGAACUUCUAAUUCCUAUAAUCUCAACCUUAACUAAUUGACCAAGGCCUAUUCUGUGCAUAAAGGCUCCUCUAGUGAAGAAGAAUGCAAAUUAUUCGACAAUUUUCCAAUGUUAUAGGAUACCAAAUCCCCUUAUUCCUCCAUGAUUAAAUGCCAAUGCAAAUUUGCUGAAAGAAAGAGGAGCCGUGCAAGUCUGGUGUAGUUGUUUAUUUUUGGACACUUUUGAGGUUUUUUGCCAUGCAACUAUUACCCAAGUCCCUUAUUAAUUUUCUUUUCAAUCAUGUACAUUGAGUGUGCCAAUAGGCACCCAAAAUUCCUGCCUAAAUGGAAAUGCCACCCAUAUAGCUAUCAUUUCUGGGCAUUAACGUGAUUUCUUUCAGCUUUUGGACCUAAUCUUUGUGUUAAACAAUUUACAAAGUCAUCUUAGGGAGCAAAGUGUAAAUAUCUUCAGUUAAAAAGGACAAAGUGUUACGUCUUACUCCCAAGUUCAAGAGGGUAAAGCAUAGUUAGCCCUUAAAUUCAUUCAUCCUUCUCUUUGAAUCUUCUUGGUAGCUUCUCAAAGCAUAAAGAAGCAGGGCCAAGAAUCAGAACAAAGAACACAUAAGAUUGCUCUUUGCUAAAAUAUUUGAGAAGAUUGGGCAGGUUGGGCCGUAGCUCGUAAAUCCUCAACCAUAUAUGCUACAACAGCUUUCAAUUGAAGUUCAGAGAAGAAGUUUUACUUGAUCUUAGGCCUAGCUUCAGCAUUAAUACAGAUCUAGAGUCAUCACUAGCUAGAAGUAAGAAAUUCAAAGAAAUAUGACAAAACAUAUUAAUCCGGUAUUUACUAUGGGCACUCGUUGACAUACUUUUUUUUUUUUGGCAUAGCGACACAUCUAGCCUAGCCUAACCUACUCCUACUCCUAAGAGGGGGGACCUACUAUCUAAGGGAAGCGACUCUAGGGAGUGGGCCUAUAGAGUCGGAGGAACCUGACGGGGACUGAAUCACCAUCAGACCAAACGGGUGCACCACUCACCCACAUGGAUUUAGAGAGUCCUCAUAUUGAGGCACAGUGAUGGAAGGUAAGGUUUAAACCCUUGACCUCCCACCCCACUUGUUGACAUACUUAAAUUAAGCAUAACUUAUUAUGUUAAUACACACAAUCACAAUUAAUUUACUCCUUGUGUUAUAUGUUUUUUUGUAUUAACUACAUUUUUUUUAAAAGACUAACGCAUAAAACCACUCUAAAUGAGUGUCAAAUUGGCACCCAUUAGCCAAACUAUGUUAAUCCAAUUAAGUUAUACCAACAUACGAGCAACUUCAAGCCUUCAAUUAAUAAUGGGUGAAUGUGAAAAGGCUUCAUCAAACAUGAUUUAUAUAUAUAUAUAUAUAUAACAAGACAAUUUCAUUCCAAUAUUUAUACUAAUGGCAGCGAAUACAUCAAACAUGACAUAGAUUUAUAUAAAUCUGAAAAUCAAAUAAUAUAACAGAUUUAAAAAUCUAUAAAUUUGACCAUAACGUUGAAAUUUCAAGAAUAUCUUCCAUCAAAUAAAUGUCAGUACAAUUCGACGAAUCUAUAUCCAUGUCUUUUGACAGAUGCAUAGUCAGAUCUGAUAAAAACUAUUUCAAGUCUAAAGAAAAAUUUAGAUCUAACUUCUAGAUUUAAUUGGAGGAGUUUUAGAGAGAAGGAAGAGAGAAUGAGUUUUAGAGUGAAAAAGAAGAGAGCUUUUGUAAUAUCCAGAUAAUUUGCAGCUAGCACUUGGAGUUUGAUUAGUAUCAAAAGCAUAUUCAAUGACCUAAUUUGCAUCUAAAUACAUGCAGGUGACAUCUUUUCACACUGUUAAAGGACAUUCUGAUUGUUAUCUGUAUCCAUGCAAGCCAUCUUGACAGUUAAGAGGCACUAACAUUUUCAACAUUUGCAGCUAGUUUGGGAGUUUAAGAUAGAACAGAAAAGAAGAGAAAGCUUAAGUUAUGAAAGAAAAAAAAAGAAGAGAUUUAGUUUUGAUAUUGUUUGGGAGUUUAGUAAAAAAGAAAAUUGAUAUUGGAUACAUAUGCCAAAAAAAAUUUGUUUAAUAGACAUUUAAGUAUAAAUUUGAUAUUUUAAAAAUUUUUAGAAAGCUUGCUUCAACUCUGUUUUGUUGGAAAAGUAUUAUUAACUGUAAAUGCUAGAACGAUCCAUCCAAAAUCUUCCCAUUUUUUUUUUCAAUCGCUCCACAACUCCCAAACAUCAUAAAAGAGCUAUAUUCUCUCACUUUCUUCUCAUUUCCUGUCAAAUCUAAGCUCCCAAACAAAGUAUUGGUCUCCACAUGAUGUACAAUUAUCUAACAUAAGCUCCAGCGUGCAAAAUCUAAAAUCAAAGGAUGAAUUAGGUAAAUGUAACUUCAACGUAUACCAAUCUUUUAUUGCCUUUCUUUGAUUACUACCUCUAUUUGCAGCACCCUUCAUAUUUGAAAUUUUGCAAUUUUUGACAGCUAUGGUGAAAAAAAAUAAUGGCUCUAAUGUCACAACACAAAUUUUAUUUCCACAAUAAUAAUAAUUUGCCCUUCUCAAGUCCAAAUGUAGUUUGGACGUAAUGCGUCAUUUUAACAAAAUUUGCUCGGAAAAUAAAUUUUGAGCUAUGGCAAUAUGAUUUGUCCUAACUACUCAAGCAAACAAUGACUGCAAAUCAUUAGCUUGUCCUCCCUCAUCUGUUGAUACAUGUGUCAAAUAUCUUUAUCAUUCCAUUAUUCAAGAAUUAGAGUGAAAUAUAUGCUUUAGUUUGGUAUGAGGGACUCAAUCCGUGCAAACACAAACACUAGAGUAAAAUAUAUGCUAUAGGAUAGUAAUUUUUUUUGUAGGAAAAUAGACUGUAGCACUUGUUUUAAUAUGAUGCAUAUGAGCUAAAAAUAUAAUUAGAAAAUGUGUCAAGAUAUAUUCUUGGAAAAAUCUGAAAAAUUUUUCUACAAAAGAAUACAAUCCAAACAAGGCCUAUUGAUGCCUAACUGACAAGUAAGCUUUUUUUUUUUUUUUUUUUCAAAAACGAUAGGUGUUGUAUUGAUAAAAUCAGAACUUUACACUUGUAAAGCAACAGUUCUGAGAGGCUAUACAAAGGUGUUAAACACCUUGAGGAUUGUUUCAUUCCUCUUCAUCACAAAUACUUACUGCAUAAGUACUAAUAGAUUUACUUAUAUUGUCAUUUGCUAUAUCUAAACAAAAUGAGCAUUUUUGAAACAAACAACUUAAAUUGUUGAUGUCAUCCAUCAGAAUUGCCAGCCUAAUGUCUUUGGUUUUUCUGGACAUCAACGAUGAUAGAAGCUGCUCUUGAUCAAAGCUACUCUUACUGUCUCAGCUAAAUCCACUAUUGGUAUGCUUGUGCCUCUAUUCCUCAUGGCCAAACUGUCUUAACUAACUGACAAGUAAGCUAAUUUGGCACCAAAACCCAAUGUGGAUUUAAUCUGGCCCCAUGAACUGGUAGCCUUUUUUUAUUUGACUUGUCCAAGAAAAGAUUUGAAUGUUCACCCCAAAAAUGGUGGCGGAUCCUUGAGCAUCCGGAAGAAGAAGAAGAAGACUUAUUCCACGGUUGAAAGUUUAAACGUGAAACAAAACCAGAAAAAGCAACAGAGCACACGGUGCCAUUUCAGGGACUGGAAAUGAUAGAAGUUCGCCGCAAGCAGAAUCCAUGCUAUCACAGAGAAGGCCAGUUUUUUGUCUGGCUACUGCAAGUAGAGAAAAGGCACAUGCCCUUCAAGGAGGACCUUGUAAAUUUAGUUCAACAUAACGAGGAAAGGGCACAAGGUAUGAGAAACAAUUUUAGAUUCUAGUUGACAUUUGAGCCCGAGAUCAUUGCAAAACAGGGAAUUCGAGCUGAGGCAAUAUGUGAACAAGAAAGCUAAUCAGAAAGUUCAGAAAAUUUGACAAUAAUUUUGUUCUGUCAAUCUUACAAAAGGCUAAACUGUGUCUUGUUAGUUAUGAAACUAAAUGGAUAAGCAAGUACUGAGUCGUGUUUACAAUUACAGUAGUCUGGUUCCAGCUGCAAAGCAAGUAAUUACAACUCAUAAACUUGAAAAUAAUGAUAGGCAAUUUGUAGCACAUGCAAAACAUUUCACAUUGAGGAACAACAGAGCAGUAUGUGAGAGAUGACAAAUUGAGUUCUAAAACAUGUAAAUCAGCACCUCAUUAUCAUAGCAGAAGAGAAUGCCAUCCUAGAUGUUACUAUCCAACUGAAGCAAGAUCUUUUUCAGCAAGGAAUCAUAGGACUUUCAAAAUGUAAAGAUAGUAAGUAAGAGCCAUCGAUACAGUUCCCUGUUGAGCAUUGUGAUAUUAAAGACAUAAGUAAUAGCCAUCAAUGAGGUUCCUUGUUGAGCUUUGUGCCAAAUAUCACUGCAAAGCACCAAAAACUCAAGCUCAGGAUGGCAUUCAGGAUAGAAUAAAGCUAAUGGAAAUUUUCAGAUAAUUGCAAGUUUUCUGUCAUUGUAACUAAAGCCCUAAAACAAGAAACUUACCAUAAAAAAAAGAAGCAGCCAACAGUCAUAAAAGCAGAGAGAGCUUAAGAGACUUUAUCAAGGUGGAUUCAUUAAAAACAUGAAAUCGCAACAAGCAGACUUAAAUAGCUUAAGUAGGUUUGUACAACUUCAUUUCUUGAACGGUACAUCAUCCUUGGUUCCCUAAAAAAUAUCUCUGUGGCGACAAGAUUUCUUUUGUUUUAUACAUAAUAAAUUGGACAUUAAAGUGGUUAAAAGGCAAAAUUGAGUAAUGAACGAAGAGAAGCAUAUCUAAAAUUAUGGGAAUUUUUGAAUCAAAAGUUAAAAGUGAUGACCAACAUGUCUACAAAUUGCUGAAUCGGUUGGAAAGUUUAAAAUCACCACGCUGACAAGGAAGAUCUCAGGCUUUGGCCAUCCGAGGCAGAGAGCAAAAGGGAAUCUGAUCUAACUGAAACAGUGACAGGUGCCGAACCUGUGCAAUAAUAAAUACCUACUCAAGAAAAUUACAAAUUUUGUAUAUAGCGGUGAGUAGGGUCGAAUCCACAGGGACUGGGAAUAAUUCGUUUCUUCUCGAGUUCAGAGUAUGGGGGGUUUUUGAUGGGAGGAAAAUAAAAAAAAUGAAAUAAAACAAACAAAAUUCAAAACUAACUCACAAAGCACAAUUUACUAAAAAUAGCAAUUAAUAAAAGUUCUACCCAAAGGAUCAGCUGUUCAGACACGGUCCAAUUAAAUGAUCAUCGAUGCAAAGAUAUUUCAUCCAUUCAUUACUAGGUUGGUUAUAGUUAUCAACAAACUCUGACAACUAGUUCUUCCUUACUUUUUCGAUAGUCAAGGUACGACCAUUGACUGCUUCUCUAACCAGAUAACAACCCUAGGUACGACCGUAGGAAUUUAAUUAUCCAAUUGUAUUGAAACUAGAAGAACCCAACCCUAACUAAUAAACACGCUAAGAGGGUUUAUUUAAGUUAGAUCUUACGUUUUCCCAACAUAAACCCAAUUAUGGUGGUUGUCACUAGGUAUCGACUAAACGAACAAUUACGGAUUCAAUUUAGUUAAUAUGACAGUAGGCUAUUAAAUAAAAUCAAAUACCCGGCCGUUGAUAUUCAAUUAAUAAAAUACCCAUGAACAAUUAAUUCAGGAAACGUACGAAUAGCAACAAAUUGGAAAAAGUAAUGAAAGUUUGAUUAGAUCUCACAGAUGUUAUGGACCGCGCCUUCGCGUUAACCUUUGGGUAGAAGAAAAACCUAGCCACUCCUCAUCGUAUCAAUUUUGCGUGGGUUGGUUGAUUUCAUCCGCACAGUCAUCAGCGAAAUAUGAACGAUGGAGUGAUGACGAAAAGAAAGAAAAGAAAACGUCUUCCUUGUCUUUGCGUUAAUGUUUGUACUGAAGCCGAAGUACAACGCAAAAACCAACGAAAAUUGUACAGAGCCAAAGCCAAAGCCAAAGAGUCAAAAACGUGAAAGCCAAAAAGCAAGAGAAGAGUCUACAACGUCUGACGGCUAGGGAAAAAGAAAACUAAAGCUAUCUAAUUCCUAAUACGUGAAUCUGGCUUUCUUUUUGCCUUUUGUAGCCGCCGCCAGCCAAAGCAAUUAGGAGCAGGACUUGUCUAUGGGUUUUAAUCCCACGCAUCUGGUUCACAUGGAUCUAGUGCCUUAAUUGGGUCUCCUGCUAUUGGUCCUGCGGAUCCGGCUUUUCGAGAGCAUCUACCUUUUCUGGCGUGGCCACGCUCUGAGAUGAAGGGUCUUCUGGAAAUUUGCCUCAAGAGAUUACUUUUAACGCCAAUCAUCUGUAAUUCAUACAAAUAUGAAAUAUGAGCAAAACCUCAAUACUUAGCACAGUAAGUAGCUAAAAUUAGGACAAAAUAACAGUGCAAAAUGUGCCAAAUAACCGCUCUAUCAAUUCCCCCCACACCUAGACAAUGCUUGCCCUCAAGCAUUUCAGAGCUCAGAAGUACAACCAAGAGAGCAGAGGUCAUGUAGUAGUCUAUACUAACACAAGCAUUUCAGAUCCCUGACAAUAUCACCAAAAUUAGAACACACCGGACAGGUUGUAAUUCAAAGAAAAUAUAUGAAUACUAGGAACGCUCAAAUCAACAUCACAGAAUGGCAUUACCAUAGGCUUGCACAUUUAUCACAUCUCCACCACUCAAAGGUGAACUAAAUACACAAAUCAAAGGGAAUUUAAUAGGGUUGUAAUGGGGUUUAGGUAAAAGGCGGGAUAAGAAGGUAAAAAUAGGGUGUAAUGUGUCAAGAGAAUGUCCAAUAUCUACUACAUAACCACAAUGCUUUAUCGGGACAAUUUCUCAAGUAGGGCGUUUUCAUUUGCUGUUUUCAUUGUGCAAGUGUCGAAAAUCGUUCCUCUUUUUUUUUUUUUUUGGAGAGGACGUCUAGCAAGGCGUGGGCACGCUCUGGAAGACAGAGUCUUCUGCUCACCAGCUUUUUGCCGAUUUCUCCCUUUUUUUUUCUUCUUUUCUCUAUUUUUUUCUUGGCUUUUCUUUCGAUCUCAGAUGUACAGAAACAGCACCAUACAACAUCUUUUUGACAACACUUGCGCCCAUAGAUUUAUUUGUCUUGCACGAGUAAUGAAUUUCAGACAUCCCUUAAUGACACAAGGUUGAACAAGAAAGUCUAAAAAGGUCAUGGGUUAUCAAACACGGCUAACAAGCAAAAGUAAAAGAUAAAAGCUCAAGUUGGUUCACUAUUGGGAAAUAAGAUGAAGGCAUGGUUUGUAGAAAGUUAAAGAAGGUCAAAUCCUAAAUGCCCUUAUCAUUUCAAAUGCAUCCAGUUCAACAAAAUGUGGUCUCGACAUGUAUAAAAUAGCAAGUUCUAGAAUACCGAUACCAUGUGUGAUACCCACUCAAUCAAACAAUAAUAGAGCAAACAAGAAUAAUGUGCUCAUGCAUGACUCAAAAGCUCCCAAAAGUCACAAAAGUGGGUCAAGUCCAGUAUAUCCAACAUUCAACAAUACUGUCAAGGCAAAACGAAAUGCAUAGCUAGUAUAUCUAACCACAUGCCCGUGCACCUUGAUUGAGUUAUUCAUCAUAGCAAAGAAGUCAGCUAACUACACUCUUUUCCUUUUCCUCCUUUUUUUUUUCUUCAUUUUCCUCCUCUUUUUUUUUCAUUUUUUUUUUGUGUUUUUUUUUUUUUUGUUUUAAAAGCAAAGCAAAAGGAGAUAAUAAAGGAAGCCAUCCCCCCACACCUAAUACCUACAUUGUCCUCAAUGUAGAAAAGAUGAAUGAAGUAUAAGGAGAAAAGGAGAGAAACUUCCCUGACCACCGAGAGGGUGCUGUGAGACACUAAGGCGGAGGAGGGUGAGGUGACUGGAAUCUAAUGUGAGCAAAGAAAGCUAUCUGAUGAGAGAGAUAGUGACGGUGGGGAAGGCAGCGACGUGCGAUGGAUGGCGCGAGGAGAAGAGAGAGAGUUUCUAGCAGCGGUGGACAAAGGGGAAACCUUGGACUAAGACAAAACAAAGAAAAUUGAAAAGUAGAAGUUGAGACAAUGGAAAUUGAUAAGACCAUACAAGACAAGAAAAGAGAAAAGUAGAAAGUGGUAUUAGAGAGGAUCCUGGUCAAUCUUUGACUUUCGUUGGCGCAAAGGCUGGAAGGCGUGGGCACGCCUUGGAAGCUAUAGUCUUCUGACCGUCAAUUCCAAAACUUCACUGCUUAGGCGUGACCACCUAGCGUGGGCAUGUCUAACUUCCUGCUUCCUGCCAUAAAACAAAAAUCCAAUAAAUGACACUAACACUGAACAAAAAAUUUCAAAAAUAUAAGAAAACUAAAACAAAAGAAGCCUUGGGUUGCCUCCCAAGAGCGCCUUUCUUUAAUGUUUUUGGCUAGACAUCGUCAUAUUUAUUCACGGAGGAUAAAAUCGUGUAGCUCGUUUCAGCGCUUCAUCUUCUAUGUAGUCCUGAUAUCCCUCGUAAAUAGAGUAAUUCUUGAGCACACGAGCUACGGACUUCCAUGGAUCAGUAGAUGGCGCCAAACAAACAAGUGAUGACCUUAAAUCUUCACUCACUCCUCCAUCAAGAGCACUUAUUGGUCCGAGAUAUUUUGCCAUCAUGACUCUUAACUUAUUCCUGGCAUGAAAUUCAAAAUCAUCUGGUAUAAUAAAAUCAAUCUCACUAACAGGAAUUAAAGAAUAAGAGUCAGGAAAAUAUUGAUCAAGGAAUGGAGGAGAUGUCACCGCAUUUGGAGAUUGUUCACUGGAUUCAUUCACUUGCACCAUUUGAUGUUGGGGUCUCAAUUCUUGCGCUUCAACUUUCUUUUCAACUGCAUCUUUAGAUUCUUCUUCUUGAGACUCUUGCAGUACCAUAUCAUUUGUCAGAAUAAUUGCACUCUCGUCUUCCUCGUGGUCGAUAAUAGUCGGUGAGGGCAAUUCUUCAUAAAUUGGAGAAAUCAAUUUGCUCAUUUUAGAUGCCCAUUCACGCCUUCCUUCUUACAUCUCUUUACUCAUCUUUUGUGUCUCCUGUUGAAGUUGAUGUACCUCCUGUUGAAUUUGAUAUGUGUUAGUAGCUAUUAAUUCAACUAUUUCUUCAAGAGACAUACCUAACAUGGAUGACGGUUCUUGAGACUCUAACUGUUGUAAAUCUAUUGGUCUUUGUUGAUAAUUAAAAUUGGAAUCAUCCCACCAUCCUUGCUCAUACCCAUUUGAAUAAGGGUCAUACCAUGUUUGAGACCAGGGUGAAAAAUCUCCAUAAUUAUUGAGUGGGACACUCAGAUUAUCUUGAUAUUCGGGGCACAUACCGGUUGAAUGAUCCCUGGCGUAACAAAUUUUACAGGUUGCAGCAGCCAUUCUUUUUCUAAUAGAGUUUAGUGCCUCUGAAUAUGCAAACUUAGCAAAAAAACAAGCCUCAUUGCCUUCCCUGGAAACAAAAUCCAAUCUAUCACCAAAAUACGGAGUGUUAGCGGCCAUAAACUAGUAAAGAAAAAAAAAGAAAAAAAAAUAAGAGGGAAAAAAAAUGGAAAUGAAAAUAAAAUGAACUCAAAAAGAAACAAAUUAAACAGGCACCAGUCGCCGGCAACGGCGCCAAAAAUUGACAGGUGCCGAACCUGUGCAAUAAUAAAUACCUACUCAAGAAAAUUACAAAUUUUGUAUAUAGCGGUGAGUAGGGUCGAAUCCACAGGGAUUGGGAAUAAUUCGUUUCUUCUCGAGUUCAGAGUAUGGGGGGUUUUUGAUGGGAGGAAAAUAAAAAAAAUGAAAUAAAACAAAAAAAAUUCAAAACUAACUCACAAAGCACAAUUUACUAAAAAUAGCAAUUAAUAAAAGUUCUACCCAAAGGAUCAGCUGUUCAGGCACGGUCCAAUUAAAUGAUCAUCGAUGCAAAGAUAUUUCAUCCAUUCAUUGUGAGGACCCGUACUUUUCUUAAUUGCACGUUUUCUGCAUUUUCUUUAUUAGAAAAUUUUUCUAGAUCAAUUUUAUGAGUAAAUAUGGUUUUUAAAUAAUUUUUCUAGUUUCGGUUACUUUUUGAGAAAUUAAGAGCGUAUAUCGGACGUGGGACCCGCUAGUGUGGAAAAUUCGGAAAAAUUCGGCCAGUUCAGUUAAGUUUUGGAUACUGGGUUUAGUUUACCGGGUGUUAUGAGAUAUUUAGAGGUUGCCAAGUGGAUUGGUGUAAGAGAGACAAAAAGUUAGGCAAGCAAUUAAUGAAGAGGACAUGUGUCACUUGAGGAUUUAUUCUUACCUUUUUGACCUUUUGACCACUAUUCAUGCCUUUACCAUUUAAACCAAAAUUGACCCAAAAUUCUUCUUAUUUUGAAGCUCUUGGCCGAAUUUCUCGCUAGGAACAAAGGAAAGAAAACUCUCUCAAUUUUCAAGCUCCAAUCUUGCCCAAUCUUUCAAUUCAACCGUUUAAUCUUCAAAUUUCCAUAGAACUUCUUAGUUUGGUGAUAUUGAGGUUGGUUGUGGAGUUGUUUGGAAGAAUUUGGUGCUAAGUUGCUUACUUUCUUGAGCUUGCAAGGUGAGUAACUAGGGAAUUCUUUCUUUGAUCUUGCUAAUGUCAAAUUAAUGGUUUAUGUUGGUUAUAGAUGUGAUUUUAUGGAAGAAUUGGCACAUGAAUGCAUGAAUUUCCAGAUUAGGGUUCCAUUUUUCCCCUUUCUGCCCGUUUCUGUUUGACCGGGUUAGAAGCCAAAUUGGCCGUAGCACAAAACAUGAAAGUUGUAUACAAUGAUGUUUCCUAGUUGCCUGUAAAUUUUCAGCCCAAUCCGAGCUCAGGAACCUGAGAUAAGAUGGAAAUACCCAGACUGGUCUAGUAGGAGUUCAGGGAACAGGGUUGUCUUUUCACCCAAUCUGACCGGGACUUUUGCACCAUGAUCCUUACCGAAUUAGAUUUUGGCCAAAACAUAAAGUUGUAGCCAAUAGUAUAAAAUAGUUUCCUACAAAAUUUCAGCUUGAUCCGACCACUGUAUCAUGUGAAAUGACUGAAAUACCCUUGACUGUUCAUGAAACCUGUUUCGCGCCCAUAAUUCUGGUUUUGGUGUAGUUUUCCAUUUUUGAUCAUGCAAAUGCAUGAUUUGGCCUUGGAGGUCUUCAUAAUAAAUGUAGGGUUGUGUUUUAGCUUCGAAACACCAUAAGAUAUACUUCAAUCGGACUUCGGUAGCCUGAGUUAUUGCUGUUUAACAAUUGUGCGGUUAGCCAACCUGUUUGUGAGUUUCUGGUUUCAUAUAUGUCAAUUUUGACCUAGUUGUACUACAAACUGGACUGAGUGGCCUUCUUCAACAUUGUAGCCCUAUCUGUUAGCUUCGGAACGGUGUAUCUUGCACCUUCAUCCGAUAAUCGUAGCGCCAAUGGUGCCAAAAUCGCAAAAUGGUGUCAAAAACUGUUUUUAUCCGGAAAUGUUUUUUAGCUUGAUUUUUGUAUUUAUAUGACUUUAAGCCUAGUGAACGGCUUUUGGACAUGAGAUUAUUCUAUAUGAGAUGUUGGGACUGUUUUGAGGAAAAUAAUGAAGCCAUUAAUGGCUGGAAAAUAGGUAAACACAAGGGACAUGCCGUCCAUUUAUCUUCUUGUAAUGUGAACAAGUUAAAGUGAUUUUGCGAAUGUAUUUUGUGACGAAUUGGACGUAUUUACUGAAAAUGUUACCGGCUCUUUCAAAAGGUGGCCGAGGGCUAAAUUUCUAUUUGAACCUGUAUAUUUCCGCUUGGCAAAUAAAAUGAUCAUUUUACCAUUCUAAAACCUAAUACCUCUUUAGGUUGGUUUAUGAACCCUAGUAAUUCCCGUCCACGAAUCCAUAUGCUCUAUUGACACUUUAAAAGUCAUUUUAUACGUUUACUCGCGAGUAGUCGGGUAAUCCUUGAUUUCAUCCAAAUCAUGCUAGAUGGAUUGUAAUGUGUUCUUUGUUUACUUUUAGGUUUCAUUGGUGAUUGAGAAGUGGACGUUAUUUUGCGUGUAUAGGUGAGUGUUCCCUGUUUGAUAUGUUUCAUGAUUUUAUGGCUGGUAUGAAUGAUUGAUAACAUGUUAUAUGCUUUCAGUGAUUGUUAAAACGAGUUUUCUAGGCAAGUGUGUACUUUAUCGCACUCGGCCUAAACGAUUGUGAAAUUUUCAAUGAUUGAAUGAUUGAAAUGUUAUUUGUGCAUGAAUGUAAGCCUUUUGGCUGAACUGGCCAUUGCCCCUUGUUACCGGUCGUCUCGAGCCAGAAGCGGACUCGGUUGGGCGAUUAGGGACCUGGGUGAACGUUUUGGUAUACUCGAGUAUUACCUUGUAGAUUGGUGGAGGUUGGUGGAGCCUGGUGAAUGAAUGAAUGAACGAAUGAAUGAAUGAGGGUUUUACUUAUAUACAAAUGCAUUUUCAAAUGAUUGAAGGUAUAAGGGAACGAAAGGAGAAUGAAUGAACGAAUGAAUGAACGAAUGGCUCCUUGUGAGCACGUAUCCUUUUAAUGAAGGUGUUUAUCGCUUUCUUUUGUAUUUGAAUUAUUGGUAACAUGUAAUGAAUGCUUUGAACUUCUUGUUGCCUAUGUGUUCGGAACCUCACUGAACUUAUAGCUCACCCCUUUAGUUUGUUUUCCUUAACAGGGGAAGGCGAGCAAGGACGAGAGCCGAUAUAGACUAGCUGGGUCUAGCCCUUGGUUUUCUUUUGUCAUGGUUCUCGCCCUAGUGCUUGGCACGGGCUGGUUGUAUAGUGAUUUGAGAACCUCUGUAUAUUUGACGGUUGUACUUCUUCUUGAGAUAUUAUUGUAUAUACGUUUUGUUUUAAGUUGGAUCGUGGUUAGAUGUUCUUAUGGUUGCUUGAAGUGAUCGACUGAGUCCCGGCGAGAGCUGGGCAGGCAGUCCGCCGAACCCUUUGGUUCGCCUUAGGGGAAAGUGGGGCUGUCACAACCAUAAUUAGGUUGGUUAGAUGUUCUUAUUAGGUUGGUUAUAGUUAUCAACAAGCUCUGACAACCAGUUCUUCCUUACUUUUUCGACAGUCAAGGUACGACCAUUGACUGCUUCUCUAACCAGAUAACAACCCUAGGUACGACCGUAAGAAUUUAAUUACCCAAUUGCAUUGAAACUAGAAGAACCCAACCCUAACUAAUAAACACGCUAAGAGAGUUUAUUUAAGUUAGAUCUUACGUUUUCCCAACAUAAACCCAAUUAUGGUGGUUGUCACUAGGUAUCGACUAAACGAACAAUUACGGAUUCAAUUUAGUUAAUAUGACAGUAGGCUAUUAAAUUAAAUCAAAUACCCGGCCGUUGAUAUUCAAUUAAUAAAAUACCCAUGAACAAUUAAUUCAGGAAACGUACGAAUAACAACAAAUUGAAAAAAGUAAUGAAAGUUUGAUUAGAUCUCACAGAUGUUAUGGACCGCGCCUUCGCGUUAACCUUUGGGUAGAAGAAAAACCUAGCUGCUCCUCAUCGUAUCAAUUUUGCGUGGGUUGGUUGAUUUCAUCCGCACAGUCAUCAGCGAAAUUGGAACGAUGGAGUAAUGACGAAAAGAAAGAAAAGAAAACGUCUUCCUUGUCUUUGCGUUAAUGUUCGUACUGAAGCCGAAGUACAACGUAAAAACCAACGAAAAUUGUACAGAGCCAAAGCCAAAGCCAAAGAGUCAAAAACGUGAAAGCCAAAAAGCAAGAGAAGAGUCUACAACGUCUGACGGUUAGGGAAAAAGAAAACUAAAGCUAUCUAAUUCCUAAUACGUGAAUCUGGCUUUCUUUUUGCCUUUUGUAGCCGCCGCCAGCCAAAGCAAUUAGGAGCAGGACUUGUCUAUGGGUUUUAAUCCCACGCAUCUGGUUCACAUGGACCUAGUGCCUUAAUUGGGUCUCCUGCUAUUGGUCCCGCGGAUCCGGCUUUUCGAGAGCAUCUACCUUUUCUGGCGUGGCCACGCUCUGAGAUGAAGGGUCUUCUGGAAAUUUGCCUCAAGAGAUUACUUUUAACGCCAAUCAUCUGUAAUUCAUACAAAUAUGAAAUAUGAGCAAAACCUCAAUACUUAGCACAGUAAGUAGCUAAAAUUAGGACAAAAUAACAGUGCAAAAUGUGCCAAAUAACCGCUCUAUCAAACAGGAUCUGGUUCAGCAAGGGAUCGUAUACCAAGGAUAGUAAGCAAGAGCUAUCAAGUUUAAUGUUGAUCUUUGAGCGUAAACCUACUGCAAAACAUAGAAAAUCAAACUUAAGAAACUCGAGACAGCAUAUAGUCAAGAAUAAAGCCAGCACAUGGUUGCAUGACAUUUUUUUGUAUUUGAAACACUAAAAUAAGAACUUACCAUGAAGAGAGGAGCAACCCAACAAGUGUAGAAGGCAGAAUGAGCUUAAUAGCCUUCAUCACAGCUGAUGAAAUAAUUGCAGCAAGUGGCAGCAGCCAACAAGUACGCUUGGCAGUCUCAAAACUUGCACUCUAACAAUUCUGUGCAGAUUCACUGCAUGAAUAGUAUAUCUUCCGUGGCUGCUCCCAAAAACAUUUUCAUUAUGAGAAGAUUUCUCAAGUUUUGGUUGUAAUAUGUUCAGAAUCAAAGUAGUUAAAAGUCAAAUUUGAGUAGUAAAAGAAGAGUAGUAUAUCUGAAUUUACCAGACACUACAACAAACACCAAUUUGAUGACCAACAGCUCUGAAAACUCCUGAAAUCUUUCGUACUAGAAAAUCAUAACCAAGGAAAAGUGACACAUAAACCCAUCAUCUACGAGACUUAUCGAACAAAUCACUAAUCAAAUGGUUCAAGAAGCUUGAUAAAUGAGCCUUCAAGAGGCGAUUAAACUUUGGAGCAACUAUUUACUUUAGCAAUCACGUCUUACAUCCACAAAAGCAAAUAUAUAAAAUCAACAAAAUUAAACUUCUAGUGCUUAUUUCAUAUUGAUGGGUAACUUGUAGGAAAUGCAAAACAAAAAUUAAUUAAUACCAGCUAUAAAAAUCUAAUCUAAGUUCAUCUAGGGGAGAGACCUCAAAAAUCUGCUUGUUAAGUGCAGGAGAAAGGAGCUCAGUAGAGAAUUGGGGGUUUAAAGUCUUAUAGAAAAGGUUUGUAGAAUUGCUGCUUGUGGUAUCAAAUCUAAAAUGUCCAAUGCAUUUUCAACGUGUGAAACUUCAGAGAGAUCAAUCACUUCAUCCUGGUGAAAUCACAAGUUUACAGAGAGUGCACCGAUGUUAGCAAUCACAGUAACUGAUAUGCAUGAUAAACAAAACUAUGCAACUGAAAAACGUGAUUCAGUUAACCCAAGAAAAUCUCGGUCACUGAAAAAAAUAUGCAACUGAAGCUUUAAGUGUAGUACUGAAACAUGGAUGGUAUUGAAUUGGACCACCAUUUGCCAUGUUUGAUCUUUGCAACAGCGAAUGAGAUGUGAUACAACGGGAGAAAUACCAAUUUGACAUUUUAAAUUAACCAAAAUGAUUGUUUAGUUCCGUUAGUUUAGAUUGGUAUGGAACCGUGCAUGGUUUAUUAGUCGUAAAGGUUAUGAAAUAUUGCACUUAUUCAUGAUAAAGAGUUACUUGGCAGACCUACUCUGUUGCUGCUCCAAUUAUCACUUGAUAUACUUCAAAGGAAAGAAAGGACUUUGAAAAGUAAAGGCGGUGAUUAGGAGCCAUCAGGGUUCCCUACAGAGCUAUAAACCUACAGCAACUGCAAAACAGAAAACUCAGACUCAGGACUUCGCAUUAGCAAAUCAUGAGGCAAACACGAAAUUGCAUGACAUUUUUGUCUAGUCAAUUAUUCAGAAAGCUAAAUCAAUAUUUGUUUUUUUUCUUCUUUUCUAACGUAAAUCAGUAAGCAGGUAUCAAAUCUUUCUGUUCAGUCCACAAGUACCAGAAGCAUCACAAAAACUAUAUUAGCUUUUGUUCAAAACACUGAAAAAGAAAAGUUCUAUAACAAUAAUGACUGGUACCCACAAGCAGGAGAGGCAGAGAGUCCUAGAAUUGCCAUAAAAGCGAACUAUUUGAGACUGCAAGAUGCAACAAGUAGAGCUAAUAACUCAAAUCAUUGCAUUUGAACUUAAACUUCAGAAGAGGAUAGUCUACCAAGUCUCUGCUGCUUGAAAAUGUCUUAAACAUGACAAUUUUUUUAAGGUUUUAGUUAAUGCUUAAACUGCUUAAAACCCAAUAUUAAGUAGUGGAAGAAGAUAGUUGGUAUUAUAAAUUAUCAGACCACCAAUCCCACAACCAAGGGCAGUGAGAGUAAUUCGAUUGACCAUUGGAUUUAGGUCAAGAGAUCAAAGCUGAAGAAAGUAGAAUCCCAUCAUUUAAGAGACAUAAUAAGAAUACCAAUAAUCAGAUAAUUUGGAGCAAGAUGAUAAAUACAUUUCCAAGAGAUGGAAGUUCAGAACAAGCAUAAUUUGGAGCAAGAUGAUAAAUACAUUUCCAAGAGAUGGAAGUUCAGAACAAGCAUUUCCAUCCCGGUAGAAUCUCGAGUUUAAAGAGAAUUAGCUCCUUUCAGCAAUCAUGUUUAACAAGCAUGAGCAAAAGUAAACUGCUAUUUUUUAUUUAAAACAAAGAAUUUUGUACCGUAGAUGAAAAUACAAAAGUUUUCAGCUUUGACAUCAUGUUUAACUGUCCACAUCAAAUAAUCUCCUCUUGAACAUCUGUAUUCCAUAAUUGAAUUUAAUAUAUGGUUAGCGAUAUUGUUUUCUUCCCGGAACAACGCUUGUUGGGUUUUUUUGAAUCAGGCUGAAAAGGCCAGGAAAAGUUCAACAAAGUAGACAACUGACCUUACUGUUACAUUACUAGACAACAUCUUGGAAGCAGACGUUUUAAACAUUCAGAUAUUUUGCAACAAAAUCAUCUUAUUGUACAAUUUCUAUCACCUGAUAUUGGAUAGAUUUAAAAGAAUUUAGUAAUGAUUUCACUGGAGUAUGUUGUCCUGCAGAAACAAUAAACUAGAAAUUGACUCCUAAACUCUUUGUCCAUCAUUGCCUAUCUAUAAUUUUCUGUGUUCCAUCAAACCUUGAUUUAACAAUCUAUUUCAUGAAUGUAAAUGCAUUAUCAUUCCUUUCUAGCAAAUUGAUAACCAAAUGAACUUUCAGAGUACUUAGUUGGAUGAGGACCUUUUAGAUUGAAAAUCUCAGGAAGGUAAAGAUAGAAGAGCAAAUUCCAUGUCAUAUUUGAGCUAGGAAUCUUACAGAAAGAAAGGGUUUCUUUUUGUUACCUUUGUUCUAAAACUAAUGAGCAGGAAAUAAGACUUGAUACCAAGUACAUCUACUAAUCCAUUUAAAACAAAUUCGCUAACCUUACAGUACUUCUUGAAAAUUUGCAAGCUCCUCAUUGUCAAUCUGUUUCUCUAGUACAAGCUCUAUCACCAACCAAACCCCCCAUGAUCAUUAGCAGAAAUUCAUGGUAAUGAUGACUCUUGAUCUUGAAAGACAUUACAUAAGCUGGGGAAAGAAAUUCUGGUGGGCAGUUUGCAGAGGCCAGCUGACAAAGAUAGAGCAUUUUAUCAGGUUUUAAACACCAGGAAGAAAGAAAAGUGUGCCUGUAGUGUGCCAUCCUAAUCAUUUCUGUCCAAUUGAAACAGGAUUUGAUUCAACAAAGUUUUCAAAAGUUACAAGCUGUGCAAUUCAAUCAAUAAGUAAGUGCAAUUGUAGAUUCUAGUUCACAUUUGAGCCUGAGAUCAUUGCAGAACAGAAAACUCGAGUUGAGACAAUAUGUGAGCAAAUGUGAGCAAGAAAGCUAAUCAGCAAGUUCAGAAAAUUCAACAAUAAUUUUGUUCUGUCAUUCCUACAAAAGGCUAAAAUAUGUCUUGUUUGUAUGAAAAUAAAUAGAUAAGCAAGUACUAAGUCAUGUUUACAAUUACAGUAUUUUGGUUCCAACCACAAAGCAAGUAAUUACAACUCAUAAAAAGAAAAUAAUAAUGGACAAUUUGUAGUGCAGGCAAAGCAUUUCACAUUGAGGCAUUGAGAAACAAUAGAGGUGUGGGCCACUGAGGCACAAUAGAGAUCCACAUUUAAUUGCUACCAAAACACCAGUUAGUUCUAACUUCUAACUCUGAGCAGUAUGCCAGAGAUGACAAUUUGAGUUCUAAAACAUGUAAAUCAGCACCUCAUUAUCAUGACUACACAUCACUGGAUCGUUUGGACAGUUUUAAAGAACCAUACCCCAGUGGAUAUCUCAGACUUUGGACAUAUGAGGCACAGAGAAAAAGAGAAUGCCAUCCAGCAAGGAAUUGUAGGACUUUGAAAGAGAAAUCGAUGAGGUUCCCUGUUAAGCUUUGUGCCUAAAAUCACUGCAAAGUACAAAAACUCAAACUCAAGAUGGCGUUCAAAAUAGAAUAAAGCUAAUGGAAAUUUUUAGAUAAUCGCAGGUUUUCUGUCAUUGUGACUAAAGCCCCAAAAGGAGAAACUUACCAUAAAAAAAGAAGCAACCGACAAUCAUAAAAGCAGAGAGAGCUUAAAAGCCUCUAUCAUUAAGAUCAGCAAGUCACAACAAGCAAACUUGAGUUGAAUGUUGGAAGAUACUCCACCAAGUUUUGUGCAACUUCAUUGCCCAAACAGUGCACACCUUCCUUGGCUACCUCAAAAAUAUCUUCGUGACGACAAGAUUUCUCUUAUUUUAUAUGUAAUAUAUUAGAUAUUAAAGUGGUUUAAAGUCAAAAUUGAGCAGCGAAAGAAGAGAAGCAUAUCUAAAAUUAUCCGAAUUUUUGAACCAAAACAUGAAAGUGAUAACCAACAGCUGCGAAAACUCCUCAAUUGACCAUUGUCUUCAUGGAUAAAAAGCCAAAAUCAAGGAAAAGUGAGCCAGAAAACCAUCAUAUAUGACUCUGAUGGAGCAAUUACUACUCAAAUAGUUUAGAUAAGUAUGCAAGUUCAUUAUCAAGAGACGAGGUAAAAGUUCAGUCCCCUUAGAAUCAAGAUUGCCUUCAAUAACCUCUUGAGAGAUGAAAGUUCAGUCCCCUGAUUGAAUUUGAUCCAAAGAUGAAAGUUGGUUAUUAAUCAACUUAUGCAUAGGUCUUGAAUGUGAGAAACUUUGGACCACUGGGAGUCGGGGCCGCUGCUCUCAGGAGUGCAUCUUUCUUUUAACAGAGGAGAACCAUAAACCUCCAGACGUUUUAGUUUGGUGAGACUUCUCAUGGCAUCCUCAGAGGGUAGAUGUCCAAGCUCUUUGAAAAACCAUAAGUGCACGUCUUCAAGAGCCGCAAAGUUUUCGAACCAAUCUGGCAGAGCUUUUAUACCUCCAAAGACAAGUAGCGUUAGUGACGUGAGAGUGGUCAAGUAUUGGAUCUGAGGUGGCAGGGACUCCAUGUGUGGCAACCCAAAUAAUUCUAAUUCACGGAGUGCGGAUGACGAAGAGGAGGAGGAGGAGGAUAUCAAUCCAGACCAAUCAAACUCAUUGUAAAUUGAAGAAUUUUCGUGAUCAUCACCAUCAUCUGAGAAGGGACCAAUUACAAGCUUUCUUAAGCUGGUUAGGAAACCAAAUCCUUUGGGCGUCGUACUUGUUUUCAGUUUGGGACACUUCCAUAAUUCCAGCUCCAAGAGAGAAGGCAUUUGUUGCAAAUCAAGCGGAAAGGAGAAAAGAUUGUAGCAAUAAGUCACCCGAAGCUUCUGGAGAGAGGCACACGAGUGUUGCAUGUCACCGGGCAGAUUCGUCAACCCACCGCAAUUUGUAAUCACUAGCUCUUUAAGAGACGUAAAGUUUUGCAGGGGAAGGAGUUCUCUGCAUCUGUUGCAGCAAUUAAAUGUCAAACUCGCUAACUUGGGGAGUGUUGUUGCUGUUGGCAAAUCCAUUAACCAUCGAGGAAAUUGAUCACCCAUAAAAUUCUCAAUUACCAACUCCUCCAAAUUUGGGUGGGGUCGAAGGCAGUCCAACACUUUUUCGUCGUUGUAGUUAUGGCCUUCUCGAUGCCAAGGCCGGGCCCACUUAAGUCGCAAACUAAAUAGAUUAGCCUUUCAGAUAGUUUUGCUUCUUCAGCUCCUUUCCUAUCCUUUACUAGAUGAAGAUUGUGUAUCUCCAAAUUGCCUUUGAGGUUCUUCAAGCUUCCAAGCUCUCCAAUUCGUCGACCCUUCUCUCGACCCACUUUAAAGAAUGCUAGCGUCUGAAGGCAAGUCAGUCGUCCCAUCUCUUAACGGCAUUUGAAAUUCUUCAUUAUAGGUGUAAUAGUGGAGAUGUCUCAAGCUAAUCAAAUCGCGCGUCCCCUUCGGCAGAACCUUAAGAGCCAAGCUGUUUAGCCUCAGUGUCUGCAAAUUAUAAAGUUUGCAAACAGAUUCCGGCAAAGUUUCGCUUUUAGAACCCUCAAAGUUAAUGUACCUCAAGUGUAUCAGUUUGCCAAUUGAGAUUGGCAGAUUCUGAUUUUUUGCACCGGACAAAUUCAAAACGUGCAAAUUCUUCAACUUCAUUAGCAUAUCAUCAGAUAAGCUACCCUGACUCAGAAACAAUGUAUGAAGCAAAUUUGAUCCACUCUCAAAAAGAUUUAUUGUGUCUUCUCCAAAUGAGUCUAUUACAAGACAACGAACCUGAUUACUAUUGUCUCCUGAACCAGUCUCCGAAUUAAUGAAUUUAGUAGACUUUGACAUUAUUGAUUUUGAGACUUCGUGCACUAUAUCAUGCAUUUUAUAAUACCUUCCCCAAGCGUCUCUUAUUUCUUCCAGCAAAGAACUCUGCAAUAAAAUUUCCAAGUAAUAUUCUCCAAUUUCCUCCAUUGUUUUGUUCUCGAGACCUGCAUGGAGGAAACCUUCUGCCAUCCAAAGUUCGAUUAGCAUAUCUCUUUCCAUCUCAGUAUCCUUAGUAAACAUAGAACAAUAUGCAAAACAUUUCUUAACGGCUGGUGAUGGUAAACAAUCAAAACUCAAUUUAAGUAUUUCCAUGACACCAUCUCCACCUGCACUCAAACUCGAAAGCCUAUUCUCCAAAAUUGAUGGCCACUCUUCUUUUCUCUUUAAAGAUAAUAGACCUCCAAUUACACUUGCAGCCAAUGGUAGACCAUUACAUCUUUUGAUUAUUCUCUUUUUAAUUGCUUUUAGUUCAUCAGGUUCUUCUUCCCCUCCAACUACUUUUUCUUUUACGAUAGACCAACAAUGAUCAUCAGGUAGUUUUCCUAAUGGAUAUGGUUCAUUUUCCAUCAUCCCCAAAACUCGAGACACACUAUGUGCCACUGGACCUAAACGAGUAGUGACCAGACACCAGCUUCCAUUAGUUGGAUUGAGCCCCUUCAAGGUGGUGAAAAAGUUAUCCCACAAUGCACGAUUAUCAUCCCACACAUCAUCAAGAACUAGGAGAUAUCUUUUUCCCCCAAGUUGAUUCUGAAUGUCUUCAACGAUGACAUUCCUAUCAUCCACUUCAACUUUUCUUUUCAUCAAUUGCACUAACAUGAGUUUGAAAAGUUCCACUACUGGAACUUUUUUCGAUACACAAACCCACAACUUUUUCUCAAAUUGCCCAUCAAUUUGCUGAUUGUUGUAUAUCGAUUUAGCCAAAGUUGUUUUGCCUAGACCUCCCAUACCAAAUAUGGGAAGAACAAAAACUACCUUCUCAGAUGGGCUCAACAAUAUCUUCAAUAUGUUUGAUUCAUCAUCGGCUCUUCCAAUUAUUGGAACAAGAACAGAGUCAGUCUGCCGAUUUCCUAUGUCUCCAACAGCAGGAGCAGCAGGGAGGGCAGCUGUCAUCACUAACCUACUAACCAGUCCCAAUCCGUUGGCUUCUUGAUUUAUCUCCUUCAACUUCAGUUUGACGUCCCUGACCUUAGAAGCCAUUCUCCAACGAAAAGCAAGAUUAAUGUUGAGAAGGAAAAGAAGGAGAAUACCUUGAGCUUGGGUCGGUUUCGGGACUCCACCUGGUGACGAAGAGAUUCAUAGUAGAGCUCAUCCAACACAUUCUGAGCAUCAUAAGCCACCUCCUCGAGACACUUCAACCAUCGUUGCACUCCUCUGCUUUGGUUUUGCCUUUCCUCAGCAUCAGCCAGGACAUCUUUGAUAAAGCCGAGAGAAUGUGUCAUGCUGGCCACAUCCUUCUUGAACCCAACUAGCAAACCAAUCCUAUCAGAGGCAAGAGACAGUGUCGUUUCCAAUGUGACCUGUAUUGUUGAGCUGAUAAGAGCGUCAGCCAUUUUUGCUGCCUUGGAUUCAGUGUUGAGAACAAGAUGGUUUUUUUUUUAUGGAAGGUUUUUUGCAGCGAGGAACUGGUAAUCUUAUCUAGGCUAGUAUAAUUGGUUAUGAAAAAAGGAGCAUUAAUAAUUUUUCCGCGUAGACGUGGAGUUCUUCUCUGACAAAUUUGUAAGCUUUUGCAUUGGCGUGUUUACAGAGUAACUUUCUCAAUUAUUGUAGUUGUUGGGGCAUCAUGUUUUCUGAUUAAAAGGUGGGGCCUUCAGAAUUUUUGGUUGUGGACCAUAUUUGUUUUUGUCCACGAUCAAAUCGUAAAAAGGAGAGUGAGAUUCUGUUUUGGUUACAUGCAUGUCAUUAUUGUUAAUCCUUGGAAAAUGAAUUUAUGACAUACAGUAUUUUGGUCCGAAUUUUGUUCGGUUUUGGGAAGCGACCACACUGGGAAGCAAUAAUGUUCUCUGUUUUCGCACUAGCUAUGACGCAUUUUGCUUCUUGGCUUUUAAAUUACCUUUUGUACUUUAGCUAGAGUGUUAUUUGAAAUAUUAUUUGAAAUAAUUACUGUAAUACUUUUUAUGAUGUGAUAUAUGUGAGAUAAAAAGGUGGUUAAGAAUAUAAAAGAUUGAGUUGAAAAAUGUAUUUAUGAUGCAAGCGAAAUAUUAUUUAGAAUAAUAUGGAUAUCCAAACAAACCUAUAUAUUCUCUGUUUUCGCACUAGCUAUGAUGCAUUUUGCUUCUUGGCUUAGUAAUCAGGCUUGAGAUUUUAAAUUACCUUUUGUACUUUAGCGUUUCAAACAUAUAUAUAACAUGAUCGGUAUGAAACCCCUAGCCUUCUACUCCUCUCUUUAAAAUCUGAUAGUCUUUAAUUCAGAUCGGUAUUAAUCUUUUUUGUUAUUUUAUUUCUUAUUACUUUCUUUUUCUAGUUGAUUUUGGAUCCUUUUUUUAUUACUUUUCUAAUUUUUUUUCUUUAGCUUUUGCUGACGCGUAUAUUGGUUUCUCCUCAAACUGGAUGUCUCUCAAUCUCUCUUGUGGGAAUUCAACAUACUUUAAGAUGAAUUUCAUUUUGCCAUUAUCAAGUUUGCACUUAAAGAAUUAAAGUUCAUAUGGGGCUAAGUCAUACUAAUUUCAUAUCUUUGACAUUUAUUUAUCACAAACCUCAAUUCUUCUUUCCUCCAGUGUUUCUUUUCUAUAUCAACUCUCCUUAAUCCCAUUAUUGUCUCACAGCAUAAUCCAGAAAGUGUCAGUAUAUAAGAAUUCUUUUGAAGUAAUUAUUACAAAUAUAUAGUUCCCGUUUCUUGUGGAAUGUUCUGAAUCUUUCCUAAAGAAACAUUUUCCAAUUUGAGUUCCAGAAUUGUUGCAAACUUUUUCGGUUUGCGCAUCACUUUGCAUGUAAGAAUUCAAAAUUUCACCACCAAUUAAAUAUAUAGUUUUCCUCGCAACUUGUCCCAUUUGGAUUGCUAUUUUUAGAAAUUUUUUGUAGAAAAAUAUACUGUAGAGAUUUGAUAUAUGUGAGAUAAAAAUGUGAUUGAGAAAUGUAUUUACAAAAAAAAUGUUAGUUUCCUUUUCUCUUCUAUUUCGAAUUUCUCCCAACUUAUGUUUCCUUGUUGCAAAUCUUGCCAAACUUUAUAAGAUAUGUCUUAUCAAUUUCUUUGAUACCUGAAACACUAGAAAUUUCUCAUUCCUUAUGUGUAUUCUUGUUUAAUUAUUUAAUUUGGUUCCUGAAACACAAGAAAUUAGUAAAGAAUUUCGAUCCAAUUUGGUGCAACGCUUCUUUGACAAAUUGAAUCUGAUGCUUCUGCAAUGGAAGUGUUUUUUUUUUUUUUUAUAGCAACAAUAACUUUCCUACAACCUAAUCUAUUCUAUUCUAUAGAGAGGGGGAACUUAAUUUAUUCUAUUCUACAAGAAGGGAAGCCUAAAAAGACUAUAUAAGGGAGUUGAUAUACAUACCUAAUUAGAUCGUAUUUUGACGCUUUCUUAAAUUUUUUUUCAUUAUGUAGAGUUCGAACUCCACAUUUACGAUCCAAAAAAAAUUAAUCUCUUUUUUGUUGCCGCUGAGCCAAAUCUCCUUUGUUGCCGGGAUUCUUCAGCUGCCUUUGAUCCACAUUCCACAUGCUUGUGUGUGUCUUGGGGGGGGCAUCGGAUGUGGAAAAUUCCACCCAAGAAGGAAAAGAAACGUGUUGAAUGAUGAAGAAAAGAAAAUGGCAAUCAUCAUUGAGACUCUAAUAAAUCUCACUCCUCAGUUCUUGGGACGUGAACGUACAAUUAAUAAUUCCAUCUAAAUUGCUGAUCCUAAGUGGAUCAGAUUUGAAACAUAUUUUAUCCUUUGGGGACUCCUUAGUUUGUUUGCUUUCUGCAGGGGAUUAUGCUCCAAUUUCUUUAAAAUCCACAGACCCCCAAAGUUCUCCAUUUCCGUGCUAGCUAUGUAUUUUCCAUUUUUGUUUAGUUCAAAAUAGCUAGAAAUUUACAGUGGAUGCUUUUGUUUGCUCUUUAACCACCGGUAGAAAGAAGUGCUGCAGUAGUACAUCUUUGACAAACUUGGAUGCCAUUAAUUGCCAUGGAGAAGUUUGCAUGCCAUUAUUGACUUGGCCUUUAUUGAUCAAUGCUUGGCUAGGUAUUUCAUCUUUUUCUGAUUGAAAGCUGGCUGGCGCCUUUGGCUGUGGAAAAUAUCUCAAUGGUUUGUCGGAGUAGUGGUUUGACCCAAGACUGACCCCCGCAAAAAAAAAAAAAGAAGAAAAAAAACUAUGUUCAACGAUAAAAAUGUAAAUGAGAAAGAAGAAAUGACAGCCAUAGCUGGUGACUUUGCAACAUUAAUUGCCUCAGUCAUUAAUCCUUGGGAAAUGGACUAAAAACGUUAUUUUGUGGGGGAAAAACUUUAAUAAAAAAUAAUCCGUGGUUCACUUAUCAAAAACAUGAAGUGGAGUUAGCAAUCAGGUUUGGCAUGUAGCGACAUAAUUGGCCAAUGGUUGGGUGCUUUCUUAGCUUUUACACUUGUGAAAUUGCCAAAAUAGUCACUCGUAAUUCCACAAGCUUUCUAGCACUUUAAAAAUUCAAACAUUUUGUUUCAAAAUGUCUUGUUUAUGUACAGCAUACAAAAUUUAAGUGGUGAAAGUUUAAGGAGUUUCUUUAUUACUAUUUCUUUUUUUGAAGUACAAUGUACAAUCAAUUGAAGUUAGAAGUGAAAUAAACCUUUAGUUCACACUAUGAUUAUAAAAUUUGACUGAAUUGGAUGUUUUGGGAAGGGGGAAAUGAGCGUGUUCUUGCGGAUUUUAAUUUUUAUAAUUGAAUUAUUUGCCUAUGAUAUGAUCACAAGUUUAACUUAAAUAGAGUUGCGAUAAUAGAAGAUUCUCGAAAGAAGACUUCAAAAGGUGGAAAUUGAAAAUGAGUGGAAAUUAAUGGGGAAUUAACCAGUUAUUUGGAUACCUAUUUUUGUAUCCGACUCUUUUAUAAUUAGUUUUUCUUAUAGUUUUUCUCGUUCCUAACAAAUUUGAAUUAUUUGUUCUUAUGGUUCCUCUCUCUUCUAACAAUAUGAUAAAUUUGUAUAAAUUUUUUUAUCCAUAUGGAUUAACUUAGUGUUAAAAAAUUUUAACUGUUAGCUGAUAGAUUUAUCAAUAUUGCUGGAAAUUAAAUAUUUUUUGAUGUAGAAAACAAAUCGCAAAAUCUAUUGUACUCGGUUAAGUAGGAAAAUGUAACUAGGUUUAUGGUUAUUAUAAAAAUUGUAAUUAUCUAAAAAAUAUCCGUACACAAAAAGGUAGAAUAUCUAUUGAUUUUUUUAUAUUUGUUAUCAUAUUUGAUGAAUAUUAUUAUAUUAUAGUAAAAGUAUGUAAAGAAGUAUUUAAAAAUUAGUAUGACAGUUAAGUAUAAUUAUUCUAUUAAUUUUCUAAAAUUAAUAUGAAUGAACUUGUAAGAUCAUCAUUAAUUUUUUAUUUAAAUUAUUCAUGCUUGCACGAAUUCAUUAUAAAGUUUAAAAAAAUAAACAUGCCAAGGCACAUGCAAGACGCUAGUUCAAAUUAAUGUUGUACACGUAUAGGAGUCACAAAAUCGGUUUGGUGCACUAGCAAACAGAAGGGGACAUCCAAAGUAUUGGGACAAGUUUUACAUUAAAGGGGGAGAUUUGUAAAGCAAUUGAGCGAAAACAAAUGAGGUUGAAGAAAAUUUUAUAUCAUUUGCAAUACAUUCAUAAAAGCUAUGACACAUUCGUUAAAAUAAGAAAUAUUUAUUAAUUUGGUGCAAUGUAAUAGCAAACCAAGGAAAAAAAAUAUGAAUGAUCCGUAAGAGGGAAAGAUGUCAUUUGACUUAAAAUAAAAGUGUGAUUGGAUAGAGGUUUAGUUGAACAAAAAAAUUAGAUUAAUGUCAUAGCACUUUUUGUUGCUUGAUAUAAUAUAUAUGAGAUAAAAUGAUGGCUGAUAAAAUUAAAAAAAUGAUUCAGGUAAAUAUAAAUAUUUUUUUUCAUAUAUUUGUGUAAUGAUGACAAUGACAGGGUGAAAACAGUGCAUGCAAAGAAUAAUAAUAAUGAUAACUCUUGUGAGAUGGAUAGCAAUUGCAAGUUGCACACCUUAGAUUGAAAGAUAAUAAAUAGGACGAUAAAAAGGGAGAAGAGAAAAUUGUGAAAAUAACCACGAAAGGGAGACUAUUUAGGUUUUCUCACGAGAAGGUUAAUCAGAGGGGGAGGUGAAGAGAAGGGGAGAUUGAUUGAUUGUAAAGCAAAUUAAGAAAGUAGGUAGGAGGCAAUCUUCUGAUUGAGAGAAAUUGUUAGAAACCUCAAGGGAGGUUUAUGAAAUUAUCCUAAAUAAUUGAUUUUCUAAAAAUUUUAAAGGAGAAAUAUCUAAAAGUAUCAGGUUCACAUGCAAAGCAUGUGCUCCCAUUACUAGUGAGAUAAAAAGGUAUGAUCGGAAAAUGUGAUCAUAGAAAACGUAAAAACUUUAAUCCAGAUAAAUAUUUAUACAAUCACUAAUUAGUUAUUGCUAUUAUUAUUGCUACUUUUUAUACUGUUAUAGAUAUAAGAGGAUUUACUUAUAUUGGCCUUCGAAGUCUUAUAGGCAUGGAAAUGUAGAAAUGCUUUUCUUGUAACAUAUCGCUGAGCUAUCAAGGAAAAUAUUUCAAGCCAAGAUGUGUAAGAUCGAUGUCACAUUGCUGCUUCGUGGAACAAUAUGCACAAGUACUAGUUCGCACGAAAGCAAUUUUGCAAGUAGACACCAUGUAAAAUGUCAGUUUGAUGGACUAAGGUUGACCUUAUAUGUUCCCAUUUAAUUCUUGUAAAAUUGAUUGCCAUAAUUUUAUCUUUCCAACGAUCCCGUCCACCAACUGGGAUCCUUUUUUGAAUACAAAAUUGUGCCUUAGCAAUUCAGUUUUCUAAAUUGCUCUCUGAUUAACAUAAAGUAGAAGGGCUCAAGCUGAUUGAUUCUUGUGCUCUGAGUCCUGUCCUGAGCUUUACAGAUACUAGGAGCAAUGGACAAGUAUCAUCGGACACAACCUGUAGUCAACUGCAGAACACUGAGAAAAAAUAUGUUGCCUGUUAUAGAGCUAAGAUACAACUUCAAGAAGGAUGCAAGCAUCUAUCAGGGUUCAGCUAAUCCACGUUUUCCUGCUACAAAAUACUGCUAGUUUGAACGAUGAGCAGUAUGGAAGAUAUGGCAAAUUGAGUUCCAAAAGAAGUAAAAUAGCACCUCAUUUAACAUAUCUACAAAUUGCUGAAUCGGUUGGACAGUUUAACAACACCAGACAGACAAGGAACUCAAUCCCGGAUGUUUUCAUCUGAUCUGACUGAAACAGGGUCUGGUUCAGCAAGGGAUCAUAGGACUUCAUUACAAAUGAUAGUAAGAGCGAGUUAUCAAGGUUAAUGUUGAUCUUUGAGUGUAAAAUCACUGCAAAACACAAAAACUCAAACUUAAGAAACUCGAGACAGCAUGCAGUCAAGAAUAAAGCCAGCACAUAGUUGCAUGACAUUUUUGUUGUAUUUGAAACACUAAAAUAAGAACUUACCAUGAAGAGAGAAGCAACCAACAAGUAUAGAAGGUGGGGUGAGCUUAAUAGCCUUCAUCACAGCAGAUGAAAUAAUUGCAGCAAGUAGCAGCAGCCAACAAGUACGCUUCAAAACUUGCAGCUUAGUCUUGAUUGUGUCAGAAGAUGCUAUAACAAGUCUGUGCAGCUUCACUGCAUGAGCAGUACAUCUUCCGUGGCUGCUCCCAAAAACAUUGUCAUUAUGAGAAGAUUUCUCAAGUUUUGGUUGUAAUAUGUUCAGAUUCAAAGUAGUUAAAAGUCAAAUUUGAGUAGUAAAAGAAGAGUAGUAUAUCUGAACUUACCGGACUCUUAGAACCAAACACCAAUUUGAUGACCAACAGCUCUGAAAAGUCCUGAAAUCUUUACUCCUAGAAAAUCAUAACCAAGGAAAAGCGAGACACAAACCCAUCAUCUACGAGACUUAUCGAACAAAUCACUAAUCAAAUGGUUCAAGAAGCUUGAUAUAUGCGCCUUCAAGAGGUGAUUAAACUCUGGAGCAACUAUUUACUCCCUCUAGAAUCAAGAGUUAGGGAGCUGAUCACUUUAGCAAUCACAUCUUACAUCCACAAAAGUAGAUAUAUAAAAUCAACAAAACGAAACUCCUAGUGCGUAUUUCAUAUUGAUGGGUAAAUUGUAGGAAAUGCAAACCAAAAAUUAAUUAAUACCAGCUAUAAAAAUCUAAUCUAGUUUCAUCUAGGGGAGAGAACACAAAAAUCUGCUUGUUAAGUGCAGGAGAAAGACGUGCAGUAGAGAAUUGCUGGUUUUAAGUCUCGUAGAAAAGGUUUCUAGAAUUGCUGCAUGUGAUAUCGAAUCUAAAACGUCCAAUGCAUUUUCAACAGGUGAAACUUCAGAGUGAGCAACCAUUUCAUCCUGGUGAAAUCACGAGUUUAAAGAGAGUGUGCUGAUGUUAGCAAACACAACGUACAAAGGACAGUAACUGCCAUUAGUGCAUUUCAUCCAAAACAUGAUUCAGUUCACCCAAGAAAAUCUCAUUCAUUUGCCAUGUUUGAUCUAGUACAGAAACAUGGUAUUGAAUUAAGCCUCCAUUUGCCAUGUUUGAUCUUUGUAUCAGCAAAUAAUAUGUGAUAGAACGUGAGCAAUACCAAUUUAACAUUAGAAAUUAACCAAAAAGACUGUUUAGUUCCAUUAAUUGAUAUGGAGCCGUGCAUGGCUUACUAGUGGAAAAGGUUACGAAAUAUUGUGCUUAUUCAUGAUGAAGAGAUUGAAAUGACUGACUCUGUAUCCAACUUGGCAGACCUAAUCUGUUGUUGCUUCAAUUAUCAGUUGAUAUACUUUCAAGGAAAGAGAGGAUUUUCAAAAGUGAAGGCGGUAAUUAGGAGUCAUCAGGGUUCCCGACUGAGCUUUAAGCCUACAGUCACUGCAAAACAGAAAACUCAAGACUCAGGACUUCACAUAGCAAAUCAUGAGGCUAACUGGAAAUUGCAUGACAUUUUUGUUUAGUCAAUUAUUCAGAAAGCCAAAUCAAUAUUUGUUUCUGUUGUGCUUUUCUAACCUAAAUCAGUAAGAAGAUAUCAAAUCUUUCUGCUCAAUCUACAAGUACCAGAAGUGCCAUAGAAACUAUUAGUUUUUGUUCAAAACACUGAAAAAUGAGAAGUUCUAUAACAAUAAUGAUAAUAAGCAGCACCCACAAGCAUGAAAGGUAGAGAGCUCUAGAAUUGCCAUGAAGGUGAACUCUUUGAGACAGCAAGAUGCAACGAGUAGAGCUAAUUACAACUCUUUGACUCUUAAAAUCUCAAAUCAUGGCAUUUGAACUUAAACUUUAGAAGAGGAUAGUCUACCAAGUCUCUGCUGCUUGAAAAAGUCUUAAACAUGAUAAUUUUUUAAAGGUUUUAAUUAGUGCAUUGGAUAUUAAACUUCUUAAAACCCAAUAUUAAGCAGAGGAAGAAGAUUAUUGGUAUUAUAGUCAGAGUCAGAGUCAUCGAUGAGGUUCCAUGUUUAGCUUUGUGCCUAAAACCACUGCAAAGCACAAAAACUCAAACUCAAGAUGGCGCUCAGGAUAGAAUAAAACGAAUGGAAAUUUUCAGAUAAUUGCAGGUUUUCUGUCAUUGUAACUAAAGCCCCAAAAGGAGAACUUACCAUAAAAAAAGAGGCAACCAACAAUCAUAAUAGCAGAGAGAGCUUAAAAGCCUUUAUCAAGGUGGAUUCAUUAACAGUAGCAAGUCGCAACAAGCAGGCUUGACCAACUACCGGAAUGCUUCAAAAC
rnacentral:lncRNA from 1 species